AUCACAUGUCGGAUUUAACAAAGAAAACAUUUGGCGAUUUCACUUAUUCCCUUGUGGCUUAAUUAGCAGUUCUCUCUUGAAAGUUUUCAAAAUAUGUAGUUAAUAAUUUAUACGAGUAAAAUUAUUUUAAUUCGUUUGUUAUGUUUAAUGUUAAAUUGAUAAACACGGUUAUGCUAAAUUUGAUUCUACUAGCUGUUGCUUUGUCGAGUGUGAUCGGUUUGUCAAGUGCAGCGCCGAUUGACGUCUGCACGUUCUCCUCGUUAACCAUCACAGACCAGACUUGGAUCCCUUUCAUCGAAAAAAUGGUCAACUGUUUGGAACUGGCCGUUUCCGUCGACAAAAUGGAUAGAUACGAUUUGUUGAUAUCCCUCGCUGAAGAACUGUCAGAGGCGGCGUUCCAACAUUCCGAUAAUCAAUAUGAUAGCAGAUCUGUGAUGAACAUGCUUCCUUCCUCGAUACCAAACGGUUUGCACGAUAAGUUAUCAGGCAUAUUGAACAAGCACAUGAAGAGCGGAAAAGAAUUGAUGAGGGCUGCAAGAAAAUUUUAACCAUUUGUUUUUAAUAAUGAAUAAAACAAUGUUGCAUUCUCGUUCGAAGGCGACGUCAAUGUCCGUCUGAGAAAAGAAGGGUCUGAUGAUGAAAAUGAUCCUCAAAAGAAAAUCGAGUUAAAGCUGCUUUUUCGCGUACCCGUGUUUUCACUUACCAUCUUGUUUAACGUUUUUAAUAAAUCAUUGUGAAAUUUAAAA